rnacentral:rRNA from 1 species
CUGGCUCAGGACGAACGCUGGCGGCAUGCCUAACACAUGCAAGUCGAACGGAAGUAGCAAUACUUAGUGGCGAACGGGUGAGUAACACGUGAGCAACCUGCCUUAUACUCAGGGAUAACAGUUGGAAACGACUGCUAAUACCGGAUAAGACCACACUAUGGCAUCAUAGAGGGGUCAAAGUGCUUUAGCGGUAUGAGAUGGGCUCGCGUCCAAUUAGCUAGUUGGUGGGGUAACGGCCCACCAAGGCGACGAUUGGUAGCCGACUUGAGAGAGUGAUCGGCCACACUGGAACUGAGACACGGUCCAGACUCCUACGGGAGGCAGCAGUGGGGAAUAUUGGGCAAUGGAGGAAACUCUUUAACCCCCAGCAAUGCCGCGUGAGUGAUGAAGGUCUUUGGAUUGUAAAGCUCUUUGAUUGGGGAAGAAUAAAUGACGGUACCCAAAGAACAAGCCCCGGCUAACUAUGUGCCAGCAGCCGC